rnacentral:tRNA from 1 species
CAUUAAAAAGCUUUAAGUAAGCUCUGAUCUCUUAAAUCAGCUAUGACAAGUUGGGCGUCUGUCUUUAUUGA